CUGGUACAGAGACCUUGGCAAGGAUUAUACCACAUUCAUAUCAGCUCUGGAAGACGAUAUGUGGGAGCUGAUUACCAACUUGGUUAUAAGGUUACAGAAAGUGGAUAUGGUGCGGUUCAUGGCCCUGGAUGUUACUGAAACAUUAUGUGAUCACUUUAGGGAACUUCGGGAGACAUCACCAAGGUAACUGUACACUUUAACAGCCAAUCAUAAGAAUGGAAAGGCCAGUAGUUUUAUAUUUUUAACAAGCAAGUGAUUAAUAUUUGGCUCACCCAAAAUUAUGCUUGUAUGUGUUCCAACUUUCUAUUA